rnacentral:rRNA from 1 species
UGAGGAAUAUUGGUCAAUGGGCGGGAGCCUGAACCAGCCAAGUAGCGUGCAGGAUGACGGCCCUAUGGGUUGUAAACUGCUUUUGCGCGGGGAUAAAGUGCGCCACGUGUGGCUCAUUGCAGGUACCGCGCGAAUAAGGACCGGCUAAUUCCGUGCCAGCAGCCGCGGUAAUACGGAAGGUCCGGGCGUUAUCCGGGAUUCAUUGGGUUUAAAGGGAGCGCAGGCCGCCCCUUAAGCGUGUUGUGAAAUGCCGCGGCUCAACCGUGGCACUGCAGCGCGAACUGGGGGGCUUGAGUGUGCACGACGCUGGCGGAAUUCGUGGUGUAGCGGUGAAAUGCUUAGAUAUCACGAAGAACUCCGAUUGCGAAGGCAGCUGGCGAGAGCACAACUGACGCUGAAGCUCGAAAGUGCGGGUAUCGAACAGGAUUAGAUA